CCUGGAGCAGUCCCAUUCCCAUUGGAAUUGUGGCUCAGCCCUCCUGCAGUGCCAGGGCUGGUUCUGCUGGAGCAGGGAUCCUGGAGCAGUCCCAUUCCCACUGGAAUUGUGGCUCAGCCCUCCUGCAGUGCCAGGCUGGUUCUGCUGGAGCAGGAUCCUGGAGAAAGGUGCAGGCUUCCUCUGAAGGUCCAGGGGAAGAGGCAGCUGCUGCUCCUCUGGGAAAUCCAGUGCAGAAGCCGUGCUGGUGUUCCAGAAUCUCCAGAUUAUAUCCAGGUAGGAAUGCUUGGCUCCUCCCUCUGGGCUCACAUCUCCCAGUGGGAUGCUGCAGCUCUUAUCAGCCAUGCAGGGACAUUGCAUGGCUGUUAUCAGCAGGUGUCCCCUCCCCAUGGAGGAGUGGGUGUGAUCCCUCAGAGAGAGAUAAGGGGAAUUGCCCCCUUGAGCCCAGAUGGUGAUAGAACACACCCUGCCUGGCAGCCUGGCACACAGAGCUGUGCUGGGCAUCCAGGCUCCCUGCAGCCUGGGAGAGGCAGGAAUGGCCUGGUGGAACCUCCAGGCUCAAAAUCAUUCCAAGUGGAGGCUGGGCGAGGCUGGUGCUGCACAUCCCCUGGGCAGGGCACACAGCAAACAUCACCGUGGUGGGGCUUGGGCCAUGCCAGGAAUGUCCAGGUGGCAGCAAUCCCACCUGGAGAGCCCCACAGCCUCCCUGUCCUCCACAGAAAUCGCUGGCUGGGUGGGAAAACUGCCUUGGGAGCAAAGCUUGCUGCUGGCAGUCACAUCCUUGGUGACGUGCCAAGCAGCACAUCCCUCAGGAAAACCUGUGGAGUUACUGGAUCGUGGAAUCACAGAAUGAUUUGGGCUGGAAAACCUCACUGCAAUCACCUGCCAUGGGCAGGGACACCUUCCACGGCACCAGGCUGCUCCAAGCCCCGUCCAUUCUUCUCCUUCUUCAGGAAAAACACUGUAAAAACAAAAAACAACUGCAGCAGGUGGGGGGAAAGCAGCAUCAAAGAGAGUCUGGCCUGGUCCCAGCUGGAAAAGGGAGACAGAAAAGGAGGAAACAGGCCCAAUAUAAGUUCAGAAUUCGCUGUGAGCUGAGCAGCACUGAAAUGCUCAAG
rnacentral:lncRNA from 1 species